ensembl:lncRNA
UAGUUUCCUCCAUCUUCUACCUACCCCUUCCCUUAGUUUCCUCGAUUUUCUGCCUACCCCUUCCCUUCGUUUCCUCCACCUUCUCUGUCUUGUCCUCUCCUUCCUUGCUUCCCUCCCCAACCUGGCCUUGGUCAAUACAACUUAUAUGAUAUAACACAGUAUGUGGUAUAUUAAGGGAGACCUUUCUGCUAACUAUUCAGGAAUUAGAGGUAAUCAACAGGAUGUUCUUCAACCUAGAUUUUGGGGAAACUAAAUACUCAAUAUAAAUAUGACCAUCCACGACUAUCUUUACAAGCCUUGGAUUAACACCUGUAAUGCUAUUAAGGGAUAAUUAAGGUGGGCUAACCAUGCUAAAAUUAAGCAUUGCUUAUUGUAUCGUAGUGCAAAUGCGCUAACAAAUAGUACUUUUAACAAGCUAAUGCAUGUUAGAAUCAGUGGAAGAGAUUAUUUCCAUACUUUAUUGUUGUUGAUUGGUGUGCUGUUAAUAUAAAAGAUAAUACAAAUGCACUUUAUGAUUCAUAAUUGUAUUUUCAUAAUUUUGUCUUUAAAAGGGCAUCUAUUUCUCACAAUGUUUGAACUAUUUAAAAUGAACUGAUCAGUAAGAUGACGAGUUAGCAGUUCUGCACCUAAUCCCAGGGGGCAUCAUUUUCCUACUGUAGUGCCCUACAUCUGUAAUAUGCUUUGGUCUAAGUUAACAUACUGUAGUAAAUAUGGUGUACUUUGGGAAACAAGCCAGAAUGGAUUUUUUCAUCACUGUCUUAAUUUGCAGCUAAAUUUAGUGAAGAACAGCACAAUGCAGGUAGCUGAUAGUUGUUGUGUUUGUAAGUUAUCUAUGUUUCUGGAAUAGACAUAGACAUUUCUCUCAGGUCCUGACAAAUGCUGUUAUCAUUAUAAAAGGUAGUUGCUUCACCAACACAGACAAUUUCAUAAUUAGUACAAGUAGUUGCCACAUCCCCACACACAUUAUCAUCAUUAUUGCAGGUAGUGGCCCCACCCUCACAGACAAAAUCAUCAUUAUUACAGGUAGUGGCCACUCCCCAAAAAACAUCAUUGUUAUAGGUAGAAUGGACACUACAGUAGUUAGAGUAAAUGGAACGAUAGCCUGCUAAAAGAAGUCUGUACUCUGACUUCACUCUCCGUUCUUCCCUUUACUUCACUUCCUCCACUUUCUAGCUGUAACAUUAUUUAGACCUUUUGUAAAACAUAAACUGGGUAACAUUGUCUGCCAAGCACUAUGCUUUCUAUAACCCUAAUUCUAGUAAGAGUUAGUAUCUGUCUAAAAGACCAAGGCUGUCAUAUGGACACAUCCUAGAUGCCACCUAUUUCCUGUAUUUCAGGUGCUUAGCACUACUACUAGGGUCCCGGUAAAAGGGAAUGGAGUGCUGUUGGGACAUAUCUUGCUUCAUUGUGCCUUAUCCCAUGAUCCCUCUUUUUUUGUGUGGUUUUGUGUUUCUGUUCUUGUCAGGUGAUGUUUUAUCCCAAUUAAUAGAAAAUCGUAAUUAAAUGGAUUCCACCACAGCUG